CCCGCACAAGCAGUGGAGUAUGUGGUUUAAUUCGAAGCAACGCAAAGAACCUUACCAGGGCUUGACAUCCCUUGAAGCAGCUAGAGAUAGCUGUGUCCUUCGGGACAAGGAGACAGGUGGUGCAUGGUUGUCGUCAGCUCGUGUCGUGAGAUGUUGGGUUAAGUCCCGCAACGAGCGCAACCCCUGUGGUUAGUUGCCAGCAAGUAGCGUUGGGCACUCUAGCCAGACUGCCGGUGAUAAAUCGGAGGAAGGUGGGGACGACGUCAAAUCAUCAUGCCCUUUAUGUCCUGGGCUACACACGUACUACAAUGGCCGUUACAGACGGACGCAAAGCCGCGAGGUGGAGCAAAUCCUAAAAAGCCGGUCUCAGUUCGGAUUGCAGGCUGCAAUUCGCCUGCAUGAAGUCGGAAUCGCUAGUAAUCGCAGGUCAGCAUACUGCGGUCGAAUACGUUCCCGGGCCUU
rnacentral:rRNA from 1 species